GGUAGGACUUGGUCUCUGAGGACCUCUCCCUCCUCUGCACUCAUGCCUGCCUGCUGCCUGUGAGGCUUCGUUGGAACAAAAUGCAUCGCCAGCUCCCACCUGGAGCACUGUGCUGCUAGGCUCACAUCCCAGGGGGCUUCUGAUAUGCUACAGACGGGGAUGCUUCAGCAUCCUUUAACCUGGGAUGCUGCCUGUUAGGAGAGGAGCAGCUUCAGCCCUUUCGAAAAGUCUUCCUUCUCCUCUUCUUCCUCCUCCACUUUUUCCUCUUCCUCCUCCUCCUCCUCUUCUUUUUCCUCUUCCUCCUCUGCCUCCUCUUCCUCUUUUUCCUUUCUCCUCCUCCUCUUCCUCCUUCACUUUUUCCUCUUUCUCCUCCUCCUCCUCCUUCUUCUCUACUUUUUCCUCUUCCUCCUCCCCCUCCUCUCCUCUUCCAUUUUUAAAAAUUUCAGUAAAUGUUUCAUUAGG
rnacentral:lncRNA from 1 species